CCCAGAUGCAAUAUAGCAGAAAUCAGGUCUAACUGUUCCGUAGUCUCAGAUUAGAGGCAGGAAGAAGCUGGGAGGUUUUCAACUAGACUGGCAAAUGAAUAUGGACUUUUUGGUGGUUGUGUUUAUUGAUGCCUGUAGAAAAGUUGCCAGCGUCUUGUAUGUAUUAUGAUCAUGAAAGUGUGACUUGGGGAGCUGAGACAGAAAGGAAUUCAAAUACUAAAGGUGGAGUUGAUAAAGGUCUAAAAGAUUUCAAGUAGAGAUAACGUUUAUAUAAGUGCUGCCGAGCUGGUGUAAUGCAAGGAAGGAAGCAUCAUGAAAUGGAAACACUAUCCUUUUUUUAUUGUGGUAGCUGUACUCAGUCUCUCCAGGUCCCAUCAUUUAUUGGGUCAGCUCAUACCAGAUCUCAGACCUGAACCAAGAGAUUACUUGAGUUGGCCAGACAUGAGUGUGUUCAGCCUAGCUGGCAGGGGGCCAGAAGUGCGAUUAUCUCAGAAGAUCAAAUAAAGCAAGAUUCUUUUUUUUCUCCCUGAGCAGUACAUCCCCUUCAUUUUGCUUUGUCUCAGGUCAUUUACUUUUAAAGGUAUUUCUUUUUUUAUUCAGAGAAAGUGAUCCUUGGAAAUGACUAACGAACCCUCCCCUUAAUUAAAUGGAAAAAAACAAAUACUUCAUUCAAACUGUCUCUGAUUUUAUAUUUAAACAGUAUUAUAAGAGCAGUAAACAGCAGCCCCCUUUUUUGAGAAUUGUUAAAAAUAACAUAGCAAAAGAUAGCAAUUAAAAUAAACAUUAGUACUAAGCUUA